GACGAACGCUGGCGGCGCGCUUAACACAUGCAAGUCGAACGGAAAGGCCUGCUUUCCCUUGUGGAUUGCGGGUACUCGAGUGGCGAACGGGUGAGUAACACGUGAGUGAUCUGCCCCCAACUUGGGUAUAAGCCUGGGAAACUGGGUCUAAUUCCCGAUAGGACUGCAGGGUGGUGCCUGUGGUGGAAAACGAUUUUCUAGUGGUUGGGGAUGAGCUCGCGGCCUAUCAGCUUGUUGGUGGGGUAAUGGCCUACCAAGGCGGCGACGGGUAGCCGGCCUGAGAGGGUGGACGGCCACAUUGGGACUGAGAUACGGCCCAGACUCCUACGGGAGGCAGCAGUGGGGAAUAUUGCACAAUGGGCGGAAGCCUGAUGCAGCGACGCCGCGUGGGGGAUGACGGCCUUCGGGUUGUAAACUCCUUUCGACCGCGAGGAAGCCACCUGGUUGGAAGGGUGGUGACGGUAGUGGUAGAAGAAGCACCGGCUAACUACG
rnacentral:rRNA from 1 species